GUUCCUGUAGUUAAAUUGAGCUAACGAUGGUUUUUCAAGCCAUAGAUCUUGGGUAAGGGCCAAGCGGGAAUU
rnacentral:tRNA from 1 species